rnacentral:pre_miRNA from 1 species
AAUGUACUCCCUCCGUCUGGAAAUACUUGUCAGAAAAAUGGAUGUAUCUUGAACUAAAAUACGUCUAGAUACAUCCAUUUCUCUGACAAGUAUUUCCGGAUGGAGGGAGUAUUUU